rnacentral:lncRNA from 1 species
GCGGGCGCGGUCGGUUUGUGCCCGGAGGUAGCUGCAGGGCGGUCACGUAGGUUACACGCAGUCACUCGGCGGAGCCCGCAGGCCGCUGUGCCACCCCCUGCCGCGGCGCCCCGGGCGGGGACCAGAAUGGCGCGGGUCGGCGGCUGGAGGCUCAGCUGACUGCAGGCGCGAGGUGCGGAGGCGAGCCCGAGCCAGCGGGGCCCAGAGCCGGCUCUGCCUGUCCUUCUUCAGCCAGCAAACUCUGUGCCUGCCAAACACAGGGCCCUCUGCGGGAAUGUUCAAAAAUGAGUACCAGGGAGGUGCAUUUGUUGAAAUUUUUAGCGCUCAGGGGAAAAAUCCUGGAGCAAAAUGGAAGAUCUUGGGCAGUCCGUCUGUGAUUUGGAAAGAAUUUGAUAAAGAAGUUAAAAGUUUUGUAUUUGUCCUGGAAGGCAGCAGCCAAACCAACAGAAUCCAGUUACCGAAGGAGAAUAAGCAAAUCCUUGGACUGAUCCAGAGGUUUCUUGUGCUUCAGAUUUACAUACCCCUGGGACAGGACUUCUCCACUGAAUUACUGUAUAGAAAGUAUUACAGACGUCUUCCCGAGGAGAGACUCCUUCAUUUGUGAUUAUGAAACAUUUGCUAUGCCUUACAUUUGCUAAAGGUAUUCAGUACCUACUAUAUGUCAAUUCAGUUGAUGAAGAGCAAGACAGAUGAAAAUCUCUGUAUUCUAUUAGAGAGAAAACAGGUUAAAAGAAAAUUCAUGUGAGGAAAGCAAAACCCAAAAUCAGUUAAGAAGCAGAUACUACGGGAGCACCAAGAAAGCUUGCGUUCAGAAGCACACUGAGGAACAAGACCGUGGAAGGACCCACAGGUCAGAAUGAGACCAUAGAAAAGCUGAGAAGAGCAGAUGACAGCUGUCUCUUGCCCUGUGCAGGCCUUUGUUCCAGGCAUUCCCAUAUGUCCUGUGCAAUGCUAGAUGCAGUGACCCUACUCCAGCUGUUUAAGAUUUAUAGCCAGCAGUCAGGCAGAUAUGGCAGUUUUUGCCACAUGAAAACCCAGCACCACUUCAUUACCUGUUGUUGGGAAGAAGAGGUUUGGCCGAAGAGCUCUGGCUGUACCCCACAUCCUCACAACAGAGGCUGGUGUCGUCUCUGGCAGUAGAGGCACUAAAAGGCAUUCUACUUUGAUUUACUUUGCCAAUACAGAUUUCUGUCUCUUUGGAGUUGUUAAUUUCUUCAUCAACUACAGCCUCCUCCCAGGACCUCUCUGCAGGAGCUGUUCAAGGCUGCUGCUCUGUUUCCAAGGCAGUGUCAGCACUGAGUGCAUUCCUUGUACUCUUCUUUAUUACAUGCUAUCAUUCAACACCACAGCCUCUCAGCCAUCUGAGAAUUCCUCCUUAUACAAAUUACUUUCAUUUACUGUAAUUUUUAUCCUUUAUCCAUGGGAUUUACUAAUUUUGAAGCUUGCUCCUUUGUUGGGGGCCAUAGUUCUUUCCUGUUCUGCUGUAUCUGUCCUGUGCGUUGCUAAUAAUAAACAAAUAAAUGGCUCAUCCUUUAUUCUUUGCCAAAUGAAGUUAUAGAUGGUAAGCAUUAAUUUUUAAAAUACUUUUGUUGGCCAGAAAAUUUUGCUGCUAUUUAUGUUUACAUAAACUAUAAAAAUAAUUUGCUUCCACAGUUGAAAAAUAAUCACUUGUAAAAUGCAAAAUAAGUCUUGUUUAUUUUGUUGACAGUCAUGUGCAAGUCAGGCAUUCCCAUCACAAGCUUAUGCUAUAGAUUCAUCAUGGAACAGAAAUUGAUAUUUCACAGUUUUAUGUUUCUUGAGUAAAGUGGAAAUACUUAGAAAAGUGUAUUAAUGAAUCUUAAAAACUUUGGUCGUGAACUUGCAGUGUCCCCAUUGCACACUUCAGCAAAUCUGAAUACAUCUUAAGAACAGGAAAUGAGGACUGCUGUAUCUAGCAAAACUCUAGGAAGAAUUUAAAACAGAAUCAUCAUUAGCAAAAUUCUAAAAAUGGAACGUUUUUCCUUAGUACAUUGACUUCCUUGCUAUAAUGUGUGUGUUUGCUCUCCUUGUGUAUAAGAUAUUCCACUCUUCCUACUAUAGAGCUAAAGCCAGUUUUGGGAGAGUGACCUUGAUUCUGUGUGACUUAGUUAUCAUCAACUAGAUUUUUCAAAUAUUUCUCACUCCAGUAAAAGUAACUCUAUAGGGCUCUCAUGUUGGCAGUAUAUAC